ACACAUGCAAGUCGAACGGCAGCAUAGGAGCUUGCUCCUGAUGGCGAGUGGCGAACGGGUGAGUAAUAUAUCGGAACGUGCCCUAGAGUGGGGGAUAACUAGUCGAAAGACUAGCUAAUACCGCAUACGAUCUACGGAUGAAAGUGGGGGAUCGCAAGACCUCAUGCUCCUGGAGCGGCCGAUAUCUGAUUAGCUAGUUGGUGGGGUAAAAGCCUACCAAGGCAACGAUCAGUAGCUGGUCUGAGAGGACGACCAGCCACACUGGGACUGAGACACGGCCCAGACUCCUACGGGAGGCAGCAGUGGGGAAUUUUGGACAAUGGGGGCAACCCUGAUCCAGCAAUGCCGCGUGAGUGAAGAAGGCCUUCGGGUUGUAAAGCUCUUUUGUCAGGGAAGAAACGGUAGUAGCGAAUAACUAUUACUAAUGACGGUACCUGAAGAAUAAGCACCGGCUAACUACGUGCCAGCAGCCGCGGUAAUACGUAGGGUGCAAGCGUUAAUCGGAAUUACUGGGCGUAAAGCGUGCGCAGGCGGUUGUGUAAGUCAGAUGUGAAAUCCCCGGGCUCAACCUGGGAAUUGCAUUUGAGACUGCACGGCUAGAGUGUGUCAGAGGGGGGUAGAAUUCCACGUGUAGCAGUGAAAUGCGUAGAUAUGUGGAGGAAUACCGAUGGCGAAGGCAGCCCCCUGGGAUAACACUGACGCUCA
rnacentral:rRNA from 1 species